GACAGAGGGGGCAAGCGUUGCUCGGAAUUACUGGGCGUAAAGGGCGCGUAGGCGGGAUGGCAAGUCGGUCGUGAAAUCCUUCGGCUCAACCGAAGAACGUCGAUCGAUACUGCUGUUCUUGAGGGUUGCAGAGGAGACUGGAAUUCCCGGUGUAGCGGUGAAAUGUGUAGAGAUCGGGAGGAACACCGGUGGCGAAGGCGGGUCUCUGGACAGUUCCUGACACUGAGACACGAAGGCCAGGGGAGCAAACGGG
rnacentral:rRNA from 1 species